AUGCCUUAUUGAGGUGUGUGUCCACAAGGAUUGGUGGGUGUCACCUGCAGGCUGUCACCCACCCGCCUUUCUUGCUCAUGGACCAGGCUUUGGAGAUUGCCUGCCACGGUGCUUCAUGGGCUGAUGCCCUCAGCAAGACAGCAGUCAGGUAUCCAGAAAAUCACAAAGCAGAGUUACAGCCUGAAACUGAAGCCCCAAACCACUUCUGAGUGGCAGGUUUAAAAGCAGCUGAGGAACCCAUGCAGGAAACCAGCACCUAAAUUUCCCCAGAAGCUGCAGGGAGGAUGUCCCAUUAUUCAUUUAGUGCCUGGAGCUGUGCUUUGCCAUGGAAAUUCAGCAUGGCCCUGAGAAAACCAUGAGGAG